AUGCCCUCCUGCCGCGGCCCCCGGCCGGGCGCUCCGCCGCCGCCCUCUACCUCAUCCCCCCCCCGGAGCCGGGGGCUGCUUUGGGUUCAGCCCUCCCGAGCGGACACAGCACCCACGGACCGGUCUGCCACUCCGGUAUUUGCUUUCAAACACAACUCAGUUGAUGCCUCCCCUCCUACAGCAAAUUGAGGGACAAACUCAAUGUGGAAGAGAUGCUAAAUAGAUUAAAGAAAUGCCAAGAAAAAGAAAAAGAAAAAGAAACUUUCCUAAAGAUAAUACGGGAGACACAUCCGCUCUGGGUUGUAAUUCCUCACCUGCUGUUGAUGGAUUUCUUCAAACUGCAAGACAGGCCGAUGAAAUGGGCCAGCAUGUGGGCUGCCAUGUUUCUCCAAGUACCCUUGGGCUAGGGCCUCCAAAGCCACUUGGGCUGGUGCUGAUGCUUUGAUGGAGCAUAAGGUUUGGUGGCACAGGUCCAUGGCGUGGAGGGUCCAUGGAAUGGGGCACAGCUGGUGAGUACAUGAAGGUGAGGGAAGGGCACAGGCAGCAUUAAGAGCAUUCCCUUGACCUCCUGCCUCUAAACCUAGCCCUUCUCAGGUUACCAAUAGGACUGGUUGUGUGGGGUCAGGCCAAGCAUCCACUUAGAAUUCUGACCCCAAGGGAUGCCUGCUCCCAGGAUGCUGGUAAAAGGGAAUAAUGUGGUUGAGAGGGCAGAUUUGUGAAUUGAUCCCAAUGGGACACUCUGAUUGUGACAAGACAGCAUGGAAAAAAUCCCAGCUGGGCAACCAAGGAGCCCAGCACACAGCUUCCCAUCUGCACACUGAGCAAGACAAGAAACAUGGCACCACCUUAUACAGAGAGUGGACUUGCACAGCUCUGUAACUGCUUUUACCAACGGGUUUUGGAGAUCACCCCAAAGUGCUGGUCGUUCUACUUGGCUGCUCAGGUGAGACCCUUCAGACCCCAGGAACUGAGAUGAGAUUUGUCAGAGCCACUGGGCUGAGCCACUUGGGUCUACAGAUAAAUUGUCAUAGUUAAAGAUGCAAGUGUGUUUUAUGAAGAAAGCAAUGUUUUGUGAGAGCCGAAUCAUCAACUGCUCUAUGUGAGGUAAUUAAGAUCUGGCAGUAACUUAGAUAUAUUCAGAGAAGAGUUACGUGCAGAUGGAAAGAUGGACUGGGAUUUUAUGGUCAUGAAAACUGUAUUUUUUUCUUAUUAAAAAAUGACACUUCUCCCCACAUAUACACUUAUUCCCUUAGAAUAAGCUUUGAUCUAAAAAGUUGCAAAGAAACAAAAUGGCCCAUCAUAUGCAUAAGAGUAAAUUUUAUAUGAACACUAUGGUCUGGCAGAGAAGAGAAAGUGAAGAAAUGGUGUUCAGAGUCCUGUCAACCAAAUGUGAUCCUGCACAGGGUGCUUGGAGGCCCCAUUGCUCUCCAGUUCCUCAGGGGCUGUAGUUUCAGGGGAAGCUCUGGCUUCUCUCGGUAGACCCAACGAAAGAUAUUAUAUUCCAACAAGAUUUUUUUGCUUCCCCCUAAUGCCCACAGCACACCAUCUCCACCCUCCCAGAAGGUGCUUUGCUAUUUGGAUGAAGAAUAUGGUAUAAAAACCCUAGGUGAGAUCAGGUUGCCUUUUUUUCUGGAAGAGCUAUGAUCCUUCUGCUUUCUUCGAAUGGAUCUCAUUCUUCUUUCUCACAUCCCUUUGCAUCACCGUGAGCAAUUUGUUUUAUGCCCUAUACUUUUUUCCCUCUUAAACAUUUGCAGGCGGUUUCCUUACACAGUGCUUAGUCUAGCUACGAGUAGUUAAAGUUUCCAAAUGUUCUCCAUAAACACAUCCUUCCUCAGGCCCCUUAUCCUUUAUAUCACUCAGCAUGGGUUUCUUGGAGUUGGCCUGACACUGAUAUAUGAAGGUUUUGAUUUUGCCUUCCUUUUACAUCUGGCUAAUACAACAAUAAUCCCCUUGGAGCCACUGGAAUCAUUGUAAGUGAGAAAAAAACUGAUCAAGCCAACAGACUCAUCUGUGAGCAACUGCAUCUUCCAGGUAUCUGAGCUGAAGACAUUGAACACGCAUCCCUGAACCUAAAUCAUAAACUCACAGAAUCAUUAAGGUUGAAAAAGACCUCCAAGAUCAUCUAGUCCAACCCCACCCCACCCCCACCAUGCUGACUAACCCAUGUCCCUCGGUGCCACAUCUCCACCGUUCUUGAACACCUCCAAGGGACGGUGACUUCACCACUUCCAUGGGCAGCCUGUUCCAAUAAAUAUCUCAUCUAGGGAUGUGACUGUGGUUUUGGAGGCCUAAAUCUCCUUUCAUUGCUUCUUCACACCAUCCUCCUGUGCAAAGACGUUUGACUGUAACCACUCAUGCUGGGUUUGUGUCCUCCAGAUGUAGCAAACACAAUGAGAGAGAUGAAAAAAUAAAUAGAAAUAAACAAAAAUUUUAAAAGCC